rnacentral:tRNA from 1 species
GCGGGUUUAGCUCAGUUGGGAGAGCGUCAGACUGAAGAGGUUACUUUAUUCCAUCAAAAUCGAUAUCUGAAGGUCAUGUGUUCGAUCCACAUAAACCGCA